CCUACGGGAGGCAGCAGUGGGGAAUAUUGCACAAUGGGCGAAAGCCUGAUGCAGCGACGCCGCGUGAGGGAUGACGGCCUUCGGGUUGUAAACCUCUUUCAGCAGGGAAGAAGCGAGAGUGACGGUACCUGCAGAAGAAGCGCCGGCUAACUACGUGCCAGCAGCCGCGGUAAUACGUAGGGCGCAAGCGUUGUCCGGAAUUAUUGGGCGUAAAGAGCUCGUAGGCGGCUUGUUGCGUCGGUUGUGAAAGCCCGGGGCUUAACCCCGGGUCUGCAGUCGAUACGGGCAGGCUAGAGUGUGGUAGGGGAGAUCGGAAUUCCUGGUGUAGCGGUGAAAUGCGCAGAUAUCAGGAGGAACACCGGUGGCGAAGGCGGAUCUCUGGGCCAUUACUGACGCUGAGGAGCGAAAGCGUGGGGAGCGAACAGGAUUAGAUACCCUGGUAGUCCACGCCGUAAACGUUGGGAGCUAGGUGUUGGCGACAUUCCACGUCGUCGGUGCCGCAGCUAACGCAUUAAGUCCCCGCCUGGGGAGUACGGCCGCAAGGCAAAACGUCAAAGGAAUUAGAACG
rnacentral:rRNA from 1 species